CAACAAAUCGUAGCCUGCCGC
rnacentral:miRNA from 1 species